CAUGAGGCUCAGACUCCAGCCUGAAGCCCCUCUGGCCCAGGGAGUGACUGCAAAGUCAGCAGCACAUGGGCCAGGGCUGGCCAGCCUCUCAGCUCCACGCACCCAGACAGAAGCAUCCACAUCUGCACUCUUCAUAGCAGAGACCUCUCCCUGUUCAGGUUCUGCAUACAGAAGAGACGCCCAGAAAUAGGACUUUAAACAUGGCAUCCCUUUCCUGUGUAGCCUUCAUGGUUUCUGAUGAAAAAUGAGCUGCUAAUCUUAUUGAGAAUCCCUUGUACGUGAUGAGUAGCUCCUCUCUUGCUGCUUUCAAGAUUCUCCAUUUGUCUUUGAGUAUUGACAGUUUGACUAUAAUGUGUGUUGGCAUGAACUGAGCUUUUUGAAUGUGUAUUAUUAUGUCUUUCAUCAGAUUUGGGAAGUUUUCAGCCGUUGUUUCUUCAAAUAUUCUUUUAUGUCCCUUUCUUUCCCUCUCUUCUCCUUCUGGGACUCUAAUGCUGUGUAUGUUAUGCUUGAUGGUGUCCCACAGGUAUCUCAGCCUCUAUUCACAUUUUUCAUAUUUUUUCUUUAUAUUAUUCAAACAAUAAUUUUUAUUGCCUUAUCUUCAAGUUAUGGGUUGAACUGUGUCCCUCUGAAAUUUAUAUGUUGAAAUUCUAAACCCCAGCACCUCACCAUAUCACUUUUUUGGAUAUAAGAUCAUUGCAAAUUAGUUAAGAUGAGGUCACACUGGAGUAGGAAUGGUCCCCUAAUAUAAUAUGACUCGUGUCCUUGUAAGAAGGGAAAAUUUUGGAUGUAGACACAAACUUAGGGAGAAUGCUGUUUAAAGAUAAAGACAGAGAACUGCAAGCCACAGAAUGCCAAAUAAUGCUAGCAAACCACCAGAAGGUAAGAGAGAAGGAUGGAACAGGUUCUGUCUCACAGCUCUCAGAGGGAACCAACCCUGCCAUUUUGGACAUAUAGCCUCCAGAACUGUGAACCAAUAAAUUUCUGCUGUUUAAGCUACUGAAUGUGUUUGUGUUCAUUAUGGCAGUCCUAGCAAACUAAUUCUAUGCUUUGUUUUUGGUUUUGUCUUACUGAGAACUGUACAUUCUGAGUACUGUAAUGUGGAA
rnacentral:lncRNA from 1 species